AACAUUACAGGGGCGACUCUGUGUGCUUUUCGUCAAAGCAUUGUCAGUCGGUCAGUUUUUGAAGGUAGGUGAAGACAAAGGGAGGGUCGAUAGUGGAGAAGUCGAGUGAAAGCUGAAGAGUGGAAGAUGGAUGAUGGUUUGCAGGGAUAGUAAGAGAGAAAGAAGAAAAUGAGGUGGGUUCUGUAUCAAGAGGAAGAAGAGAAAACUUAGUGAAAAAAGAAGUUCC
rnacentral:lncRNA from 1 species